GCUACCGCCUCGAACUGUCGCAAUCCAAUGCGGCGUUCCCGAAAGGGAUAGGGGCGGUAGUUUAU
rnacentral:sRNA from 12 species